rnacentral:lncRNA from 1 species
GUAAAGGAGAUAAAGAGAAAAGAGACGCUCACAUCAUAAUACCUCUCGUGGUAAUCUAGCAACGUAACAGCUUUUCGUCCUCGGGUUUGGUCCAAGCUGCACGGUUUGGUUGAGUUCCAAUGCCAGUUUAGGUAAAAAAUAUAGUCUAGGAGAGCUUCAGUAGUUAUCCGUGUCUAAACAUUUCUCAAGUGUUUGACUACUAGUACACUCUUGAAGAGCCUUGGCGUUAAGCUCUCUGCCAUAUCUCCAGACAUAGUUGAGCCCGACAAGAAGCUCCGUGAUGAUGGUUUCUGUUUUCUGCUGGUUCGCAAAGAAGAGAGUCUGCGCGAGAACUAUGUGCGUCCUCGAAACCAAGCUCUGGUUCUCGUAACUCCUCUCGGACUGCCAUUUUAUCAUGUUGUGAGCUAACGGACCCAACCAUUCCAAGAUACCCGCCAUUGCGUCUGUCCACUCCUUCGCUAGCCCCGGAUCAUAAACCGCGGAAGAGCUCAAGUUUUUCGAGUACGGCUUUAGCCUCUCUCUCAACGAUUUUCUCACGCUCGCUGGUAACAUGUUGUAAAGGUCGUCUCUCGCAUCGUCGCCUAUCAAGUGGGGAGAUGCAACGAAUCUCUCUAUCACGAUGAUGACAUUAGCGUAGUGUAACGCUAAGCAAGCGGCGCCGAGGGUGUUAGGAGCAGCAUCUGACAACUUGGGUCUUUCAACGUGGACAGUGUUGGAACUUCCUUGGAGAAUCUGAUGAUGCUCUGCGCUACUAUGCCUAGCUCCGUUCUGGGUCCUAGUGCUGAGAGGAGUGAUACCGUCUUGAGACACCAUGCAGCCUUUAAAGGGACCAACCUGUGUUAAACGGUUGGGUUUUGACUGCUUUUUCGCUGAGGAGACCGAAGGCCUUUCCGGUGUCUGCACCACCGUCUUCUUGUUGUGUUUGCCCAUUCCCAUAAGCGGUCCUGAUUUGGAUGUGAACUUCCCGAGAGGACCCGAGUAAAACUUGAAACGUUUGUUCUUUUCUGGGGCAAGAGGACCUGACUUAGGGGACUGGGUAGUGAGUGAGCCCGAGAGGAAAUCACCCAUCUUCGUGGACUUUGUAGCAGCUGAGCCUGACGCUGGACCUGUGAAUCUCCCAAGAGGACCAGAAGCAAAUCUAGGAGGACGGGUGGUCUCGGACUGAUGCGUCAAAACAGUGGAAACAGAGUGGCCGCGAGCGAUGAAAUCAGAAUCCGCAGAGCUAACAUCGCUAGCCUCUGCUCUGUAACUAAUGCCGAAAACAUGUUUAGUCCUAGUCAAGAUUGUGAAGAUCGAUCUCACCAAGAGAAGGACGGUGUAGUCAUAAGUACGGUUCCAAAGAGACACCUCCCUUAGAUUCUUCACUUCAUGUUUCUUCCACGUGACUUUUUUCUUGUACUCCACUAUAUUAUCGGUUGCAGAUUCAUUGCUCUGCCUUCUCUUGAGACUCUGCUCAAGCUCCGUCAGAAUCUCAGUGCUGCCUUUUCGCUACGGAGACAAUGAGACUCUCGAAUACGGCGUAGUUUCUUCCGUACGGCCAACGCUUUGCGUUUUAGACUUGUUUUUGUUUGUUUGAUUAAUAAUGGGCUUUCUUACCUAUUUUAAACAUAUUUUGUUGAUAAAAAGUAAUGGAAAAUUUGAGUGUAGUUUUGGAUAAUUAAAAUUUCAGCAAGAAAAAAAUUGGAUAAUGAACUGAAGAAUUCUUAUUUGAACUCAAUUUAUGUACUCUCUGUACAAAAAAAUAAUAAUAACAAUGUUUUAAUUAUAAAUUAGAUAUAUAUAUAUAUAUAUAUAUAUAUAAUUUUAAAAAUCGUAUUAUAAUAUCUCAAAAUGAAUUUCAAAACUGAAUUUGUAUUUGUAUGUGUGUGAUGAACCAUUUGUAUAUUUAUGAUCGUAUAAAGCAAACACCAUACGCAUUCGUAUUGUAUGCAAUAUACAAGAAUAUUAAUGGUGUAACCGUAUACGUAACUGAAUUUUGAGAUUUGCGACUUAUGAAUUGGUUUCCAUGAAGAACCCACACCAGUGACAUCACCAUACGAAUAAACUCUGACCGAGAGAACAACAAGCACGAGUUAUAAUAAUACAGACAUAACUUGAACAACUCGGAACUUAAAAUCCCCAAAUCAAGGAUUCUUCUGUAUCAUCACCACUGGAUUUUACAAUAAUCAAAAACAACCUUGGCACAUACGUAUAUGCAGCAGUAGUAUGUAUCAUCUCAACCACAAUAAAAUCUCGUAGAAACAAUAUACAAUGCAUCAUCACAUCCUACUACAAGUCAGAAUAGUAAAGGAGAUAAAGAGAAAAGAGACGCUCACAUCAUAAUACCUCUCGUGGUAAUCUAGCAACGUAACAGCUUUUCGUCCUCGGGUUUGGUCCAAGCUGCACGGUUUGGUUGAGUUCCAAUGCCAGUUUAGGUAAAAAAUAUAGUCUAGGAGAGCUUCAGUAGUUAUCCGUGUCUAAACAUUUCUCAAGUGUUUGACUACUAGUACACUCUUGAAGAGCCUUGGCGUUAAGCUCUCUGCCAUAUCUCCAGACAUAGUUGAGCCCGACAAGAAGCUCCGUGAUGAUGGUUUCUGUUUUCUGCUGGUUCGCAAAGAAGAGAGUCUGCGCGAGAACUAUGUGCGUCCUCGAAACCAAGCUCUGGUUCUCGUAACUCCUCUCGGACUGCCAUUUUAUCAUGUUGUGAGCUAACGGACCCAACCAUUCCAAGAUACCCGCCAUUGCGUCUGUCCACUCCUUCGCUAGCCCCGGAUCAUAAACCGCGGAAGAGCUCAAGUUUUUCGAGUACGGCUUUAGCCUCUCUCUCAACGAUUUUCUCACGCUCGCUGGUAACAUGUUGUAAAGGUCGUCUCUCGCAUCGUCGCCUAUCAAGUGGGGAGAUGCAACGAAUCUCUCUAUCACGAUGAUGACAUUAGCGUAGUGUAACGCUAAGCAAGCGGCGCCGAGGGUGUUAGGAGCAGCAUCUGACAACUUGGGUCUUUCAACGUGGACAGUGUUGGAACUUCCUUCGAGAAUCUGAUGAUGCUCUGCGCUACUAUGCCUAGCUCCGUUCUGGGUCCUAGUGCUGAGAGGAGUGAUACCGUCUUGAGACACCAUGCAGCCUUUAAAGGGACCAACCUGUGUUAAACGGUUGGGUUUCGACUGCUUUUUCGCUGAGGAGACCGAAGGCCUUUCCGGUGUCUGCACCACCGUCUUCUUGUUGUGUUUGCCCAUUCCCAUAAGCGGUCCUGAUUUGGAGGUGAACUUCCCGAGAGGACCCGAGUAAAACUUGAAACGUUUGUUCUUUUCUGGGGCAAGAGGACCUGACUUAGGGGACUGGGUAGUGAGUGAGCCCGAGAGGAAAUCACCCAUCUUCGUGGACUUUGUAGCAGCUGAGCCUGACGCUGGACCUGUGAAUCUCCCAAGAGGACCAGAAGCAAAUCUAGGAGGACGGGUGGUCUCGGACUGAUGCGUCAAAACAGUGGAAACAGAGUGGCCGCGAGCGAUGAAAUCAGAAUCCGCAGAGCUAACAUCGCUAGCCUCUGCUCUGUAACUAAUGCCGAAAACAUGUUUAGUCCUAGUCAAGAUUGUGAAGAUCGAUCUCACCAAGAGAAGGACGGUGUAGUCAUAAGUACGGUUCCAAAGAGACACCUCCCUUAGAUUCUUCACUUCAUGUUUCUUCCACGUGACUUUUUUCUUGUACUCCACUAUAUUAUCGGUUGCAGAUUCAUUGCUCUGCCUUCUCUUGAGACUCUGCUCAAGCUCCGUCAGAAUCUCAGUCUCCUGGUAAAGACUAGCAUUAGACGAGAUAAAACGCUCCAUCCUCUUAACCUUUCUAUCCAUUUUCUUCCACCCAAACUGCCACCCAUAAGGAUCAGCUCCCGUCUUCAUCAUCUCACCGAAACAACUCUCGAAGCUCUUCAACUUGGGAUCGUUGCAUUUUACAGCGAGCCUAGCCACAGCUUUCGCUACGUUCUCAACGUUCUCCAUCAUCUCGUCGCGUAUCAGCCUCACGAUGAAGUCAUCGUCAUCUGAAACUAGCUUCUUUAUACCCGCGGAACGCGUGAUCUCUUCUCUGAGCCUCGUGACGUUCUUAUCGCUCAGGGAUUGCCAUAGAUGAACGAGUUUCGAGAGUAGACUAGCGACCUCGAAGGCUAACACUCCAAGCACAUCCUUCUCUUUAUGACCUUCGUUUUUCUUUGGGAAUUUCCAGAGGUUACGAAACCAAGUCUCUGAAACCAUCCUCUCUCUCUCUCAAGCUGAUGCGUGACAAUCAACAGUGUCUCUCCUACACAAUGAAUGAACAAUCUGUUAACCAAUACAAGUGAGGAAACGCAGAAUCAAUCAUUCACAUCAAAAGUGGAAUCAUCAAGAAAACAGCUCUUACGCACGUAAUAUGAAUCGAUUCUGCUGAAAGUGGGAGAAAUCUAGCUACAGAGCUAACGUUACGUAGAAUCGCCAAUCCUACCAACUCUCUCUCUCUCUCAAACUGCUGCGUUAUAAUCAACAGUGUCUCCUACACAAUGAAUGAACAAGAUCAGGAACAAUCUGUUAGCCAUUGAAACGCAUAAUCAAUCAUUCACACAAGUAAUUCACAUCAAAAACUCGAAAUCUCUAAGCUGAAAUCAUCAAGAAAACACCUCUUACGCAAGCAAUAGGAAUCGGAUUUGGCUGAAAUUGGAUUGAAAUCUAUGCUACAGAGCUCAAGUUACGCAGAAUCACCAAUCCUACCAUCCUCUCUCAAUACAAUCAACAGUGUCUCCUACACAACGAAUGAACAAUCUGUUAACCAAUGAAACGCAUAAUCAAUCAUUCACACAAGCGAUUCACAUCCAAAAACUGAAAUCUCGAGCUGAAAUCAGCUCUUACGCACGUAAAUAUGAAUCGAUUUAGCUGAAAUUAGGCGAAAACCUAAGCUACAGAGCUCGAGUUACGCAGAAUCGCCAAAUCAAAAUCACGAACAACCCGUUAACCAAUACGACUGAGGAAACGCAGAAUCAAUCAUUCACACAAACGAUUCACAUCAAAAAACUCGAAAUCUCGAGGUGGAAUCAUCAAGAAAACAGCUCUUACGCAAGCAAUAUGAAUCGAUUUAGCUGAGAUUGGAUGAAAUCAAGCUACUACGCAGAAUCGCCAAAUCCUACCAAAUCGAGUUUCUAAAUAAAUUCUCCAGCUGGAGUAUGUAAACACGGCCUCGCGAAAUCACUAUUCGAAUUGGAAUUGUCGGCGAAUCGAGAAACAGAUAUGGAAACAGAAGAGGCGUCUGCAAACGAGGAAGCGCGUAAGAGCGCGAGAGGAGAAGAAGAAAGCUUACCGAUUUUGGCACAUACGUAUAUGCAGCAGUAGUAUGUAUCAUCUCAACCACAAUAAAAUCUCGUAGAAACAAUAUACAAUGCAUCAUCACAUCCUACUACAAGUCAGAAUAGUAAAGGAGAUAAAGAGAAAAGAGACGCUCACAUCAUAAUACCUCUCGUGGUAAUCUAGCAACGUAACAGCUUUUCGUCCUCGGGUUUGGUCCAAGCUGCACGGUUUGGUUGAGUUCCAAUGCCAGUUUAGGUAAAAAAUAUAGUCUAGGAGAGCUUCAGUAGUUAUCCGUGUCUAAACAUUUCUCAAGUGUUUGACUACUAGUACACUCUUGAAGAGCCUUGGCGUUAAGCUCUCUGCCAUAUCUCCAGACAUAGUUGAGCCCGACAAGAAGCUCCGUGAUGAUGGUUU